AUGGCACUAGGUUUUCAGCGAUUGCUGAUGUGAUUCACAUCAGCAAUCUUUGAAAACCUAGUGCC
rnacentral:pre_miRNA from 1 species